GCGGAGGGACAUUGCUGGACGCGCCCCAGGCGCACCCAGAAACCCUCUGUGAACACAUACCUCUGUUGCCUCGGCGCAGCUGGCCUCCGGGCCCUCUGCUGUAUUACAUACAGCAGAGAGAAGGCACGCCGGUGGCCAAAACAACUCUUGUUAUUAAUUGAAACUCUGAGCAACCAAAAAAUGAAUCAAAACUUUCAACAACGGAUCUCUUGGUUCUGGCAUCGAUGAAGAACGCAGCGAAAUGCGAUAAGUAAUGUGAAUUGCAGAAUUCAGUGAAUCAUCGAAUCUUUGAACGCACAUUGCGCCCUCUGGUAUUCCGGAGGGCAUGCCUGUUCGAGCGUCAUUUCAACCCUCAAGCAUAGCUUGGUGGUGGGGCACAUGCUUAGCGUUGGAGUAGAAAGUUAUUGCUCUGGACGAACUUGCCGAGAUCGCCAGGACGAUAAGUGCUGUCGUCAAACCCUAGUAAUGGAAGGCUCCGGCCUUACCGCGCCUGAAAAGUCACAAUUUGAUAAAACAUCACGUAGGAAUAGGUUGAAAUCUCAGCAUUAAUUAAUAUUACGCUGAACUUAAGAUUAA
rnacentral:sRNA from 2 species